GCUGGAGUAGCUCAGAGGCCUAGAGCGACCGGCUCAUAAUCGGUAGGUCGUGGGUUCGACUCCCACCUCCAGCACCA
rnacentral:tRNA from 1 species